rnacentral:rRNA from 1 species
CUGCGAAUGGCUCAUUACAACAGUUAUAAUUUACACGACGAUCAUUACCAAAUGGAUAUCCAUGGUAAUUCUGGAGCUAAUACAUGCAAAAACACCAGACUUUAGGGAAUGGUGGCAUUCAUUAGCCUUAGAACCAAUCAAGUAGCAAUACUUGUUCCUGGUGAUCAUAAUGACCGAGCGGAUCGCAUUCACUGCGACAGUUCGUUCAAGUUUCUGACCUAUCAGCUCCCGUCGGUAGGGUAUUGGCCUACCGAGGCUGUGACGGGUAACGGGGAAUUAGGGUUCGAUUCCGGAGAGGGAGCCUGAGAAACGGCUACCACAUCUAAGGAUGGCAGCAGGCGCGCAAAUUACCCAAUCCCGACACGGGGAGGUAGUGACCAGAAAUAGCAACUCAGGACCUUCGGUUCUGCGAUUGCAAUGAGCGAAAAGCAAAACUAUUUGCGAGUACCUAUUGGAGGGCAAGUCUGGUGCCAGCAGCCGCGGUAAUUCCAGCUCCAAUAGCGUAUAUUAAAAUUGCUGCAGUUAAAGCGUCCGUAGUUGAAUUUCGUUCAAAUUGAAUUGUGCCGAGUUUUCCUCGUGUUAAUUCGAGUACUUUUCGAUUAGAACUUGGGUGAGAUGUAUUCGUUUCGGCGAAUUCGUUUCGCUCCGUUACUUUGAGCAAAUUGGAGUGCUCCAACCAGGCUUAAGCUUGAACAGCUCAGCAUGGAAUAACAAGAUAAGACUUUAGUUCUUCUUGUUGAUGACAUGAACUAAUAGUAAUGGUUGAUAANGACAUACGGGGGCAUUUGUACUUGCU